rnacentral:rRNA from 1 species
GACGAACGCUGGCGGCGUGCUUAACACAUGCAAGUCGAACGGAAAGCGCUCUUCGGAGUGACUCGAGUGGCGAACGGGUGAGUAACACGUGGGUGAUCUGCCCUGCACUUUGGGAUAAGCCUGGGAAACUGGGUCUAAUACCGAAUACACCUCUUGGAUCGCAUGGUUCUUGGGGGAAAGCUUUUGCGGUGUGGGAUGGGCCCGCGGCCUAUCAGCUUGUUGGUGGGGUGAUGGCCUACCAAGGCGACGACGGGUAGCCGGCCUGAGAGGGUGUCCGGCCACACUGGGACUGAGAUACGGCCCAGACUCCUACGGGAGGCAGCAGUGGGGAAUAUUGCACAAUGGGCGCAAGCCUGAUGCAGCGACGCCGCGUGGGGGAUGACGGCCUUCGGGUUGUAAACCCCUUUCAGCAUCGACGAAGCGCAAGUGACGGUAGAUGCAGAAGAAGCACCGGCCAACUACGUGCCAGCAGCCGCGGUAAUACGUAGGGUGCGAGCGUUGUCCGGAAUUACUGGGCGUAAAGAGCUCGUAGGUGGUUUGUCGCGUUGUUCGUGAAAACUCACAGCUUAACUGUGGGCGUGCGGGCGAUACGGGCAGACUGGAGUACUGCAGGGGAGACUGGAAUUCCUGGUGUAGCGGUGGAAUGCGCAGAUAUCAGGAGGAACACCGGUGGCGAAGGCGGGUCUCUGGGCAGUAACUGACGCUGAGGAGCGAAAGCGUGGGGAGCGAACAGGAUUAGAUACCCUGGUAGUCCACGCCGUAAACGGUGGGUACUAGGUGUGGGUUUCCUUUCCUUGGGAUCCGUGCCGUAGCUAACGCAUUAAGUACCCCGCCUGGGGAGUACGGCCGCAAGGCUAAAACUCAAAGGAAUUGACGGGGGCCCGCACAAGCGGCGGAGCAUGUGGAUUAAUUCGAUGCAACGCGAAGAACCUUACCUGGGUUUGACAUGCACAGGACGCGUCUAGAGAUAGGCGUUCCCUUGUGGCCUGUGUGCAGGUGGUGCAUGGCUGUCGUCAGCUCGUGUCGUGAGAUGUUGGGUUAAGUCCCGCAACGAGCGCAACCCUUGUCUCAUGUUGCCAGCACGUGAUGGUGGGGACUCGUGAGAGACUGCCGGGGUCAACUCGGAGGAAGGUGGGGAUGACGUCAAGUCAUCAUGCCCCUUAUGUCCAGGGCUUCACACAUGCUACAAUGGCCGGUACAAAGGGCUGCGAUGCCGUGAGGUGGAGCGAAUCCUUUCAAAGCCGGUCUCAGUUCGGAUCGGGGUCUGCAACUCGACCCCGUGAAGUCGGAGUCGCUAGUAAUCGCAGAUCAGCAACGCUGCGGUGAAUACGUUCCCGGGCCUUGUACACACCGCCC